GGACUAUCAUGUCGGUCGUGCCUCGGUACGUACUGGUAUUGUUGGUUUCUCCCUUCUGACGAACCAUGAUGUCAUUAUUUGGUGUUGUUGGGGAAUCAGGACUUUUACUUUGAAAAAAUUAGAGUGUUUAAAGCAGGCUUAUUAGGCUUGAAUACAUUAGCAUGGAAUAAUGAAAUAGGACGAUUGAUCCUAUUUUUGUUGGUUUCUAGGAUUGACGUA
rnacentral:rRNA from 1 species